rnacentral:rRNA from 1 species
CAAUAGCGUAUAUUUAAGUUGUUGCAGUUAAAAAGCUCGUAGUUGGAUUUCGGGUAGGAUUUGCCGGUCCGUCUUUGAGAUGUGUACUGGUAAGUCCUAUCUUCUUGUCGGGGACCAGCUCCUGGGCUUCACUGUCCGGGACUGGGAGCCGACGAAGUUACUUUGAGUAAAUUAGAGUGUUCAAAGCAAGCCUACGCUCUGAAUAUAUUAGCAUGGAAUAACACGAUAGGACUCUGGCUUAUCUUGUUGGUCUGUGAGACCAGAGUAAUGAUUAAGAGGGACAGUUGGGGGCAUUUGUAUUUCGGUGCUAGAGGUGAAAUUCUUAGAUUACCGAAAGACAAACUGCUGCGAAAGCGUCUGCCAAGGAUGUUUUCAUUGA